UACAGAGGUCUCGAGCGUUAGGCGGAAUCACUGGGCUUAAAGCGUGUGUAGGCGGAUCGGUAAGUACCUUGUAAAAUCCCACAGCUUAACUGUGGAACUGCUUGGUAUACUGCCAGUCUUGAGCCAGCUAGGGGCUACCGGAACAAAUGGUGGAGCGGUGAAAUGCGUAGAUAUCAGGAGGAACACCUGUGGCGAAAGCGGCUCACUGGACCAUAACUGACGCUGAUGCACGAAAGCUAGGGGAGCAAACAGG
rnacentral:rRNA from 1 species